AGAGUUUGAUCCUGGCUCAGAUUGAACGCUGGCGGCAUGCUUUACACAUGCAAGUCGACCGGUAACGCGGGGGCAACCCUGGCGACGAGUGGCGAACGGGUGAGUAAUACAUCGGAACAUGUCCUGGAGUGGGGGAUAGCUCGGCGAAAGCCGGAUUAAUACCGCAUACGCUCUGAGGAGGAAAGCGGGGGACCUUUCGGGGCCUCGCGCUGCAGGAGUGGCCGAUGUCGGAUUAGCUAGUUGGUGGGGUAAAGGCCCACCAAGGCGACGAUCCGUAGCUGGUCUGAGAGGAUGAUCAGCCACACUGGGACUGAGACACGGCCCAGACUCCUACGGGAGGCAGCAGUGGGGAAUUUUGGACAAUGGGGGCAACCCUGNAUCCAGCCAUGCCGCGUGAGUGAAGAAGGCCUUCGGGUUGUANAGCUCUUNCGGACGGAACGAAAUGGUUACGGUGAAUAUCCGUGACUGAUGACGGUACCGUAAUAAGAAGCACCGGCUAACUACGUGCCAGGCAGCCGCUGUAAUACGUAUGGUGCGAGCGUNGAUCGGAAUGACUGGGNCGUAAAGCGUGCGCAUGCGGGUUCGNCAAGGUCAGGGUGUNAANUCCCCGUGGGCUUAACCCUGGGAAUUGCGCUUNAAACUANCGGGNCUUGNAUUNUGGCCCCAGGGGGGGUNCAAAUUCCACGUGNUAGCAUUGGAA
rnacentral:rRNA from 1 species